rnacentral:rRNA from 1 species
AUACGGGGGGGGCGAGCGUUGUCCGGAAUCAUUGGGCGUAAAGGGUGAGGAGGCGGGAUGGUAAGUCAGAGGUGAAAGUCCAGGGCUCAACUCUGGAUCUGCCUCUGAUACUGCUGUCCUUGAGUGCGGGAGAGGGAAGUGGAAUUCCCGGUGUAGCGGUGAAAUGCGUAGAUAUCGGGAAGAACACCAGUGGCGAAGGCGGCUUCCUGGCCCGCAACUGACGCUGAAUCACGAAAGCGUGGGGAGCAAACAGGAUUAGAUACCCUAGUAGUCC